UGAUGUGGUGGGGACGUAAUUGAUUUCAAGUCAAAAUGAAGGUGAUUCUCUUGUUAGUUCUGCUGGCAUCAUGUUACUCUUUUCUUGAUGCUGCUCCGUGUCUUCACGGCCCUGUUUGUGCAAACCAUGAAGUAGUUGCUAGGGAGAAUGGACAAACAUAUUGCUGUCAGAGCGGCUAUAAAACCAUAGUGACCAAGCUUCACUCUGUGGACGGAUUUAUCACUGUAGAGUGUACAUGUCAUGUAUAGCACAGUUAUAAAGAAGACAACUUAUAAAAUGGAUUCUCAUUGAAAGCACUGAUAUCAACGGCAGUAACCCUAUAGCAAUGUCACGCAUGCGCAGUUGUUGAAAUAAAUUUGAAACUUGAAAGCGUUGCCAGAUAAGAA
rnacentral:sRNA from 1 species